GUUUCUAAUUAAUCCUUUUCCCUUUCCCUCAAAACCCUAAGACGCCUCUUUCUUCUUCACCGUCAUUCUCGAUUUCUCACAGAUUCUCACCCCUGCAAUUAAGGUUCACUUCUUCGUUUCGUAGUUCUCAUUGAACCUUUGAACUUCAUUCAAUCGCAGCAGAUUUAAGAUUAGAACUUCUUGAGAUGUUGAUAGCUCCUAUUUUACAAACUGGAAUUGUCGAAGAUGAUAUAUGUGAUGCGUUCUUCCAUAUCUUCUAAGCUCAUCUGACAUCAUAUUUAUGUCAGGAAGUGCAUCAUUUUACAUGAAGAUAUUGUAAACAUAUCAUGAUAUGUUUGAUAUGUUAUGAUAUUCUUGAUAUUUUUUGUUUCAUGCUUCGAUAUAGGCACUGAACUUUUUAUAUGCAACUUCCACAACAAAAAGAUUGACUCUU
rnacentral:lncRNA from 1 species